UUAUUGUGGCAAAGCGGCUGCCGGAAGUGCAGUGUGUCGUGCCGGCGGUCAGCUCCGCGGCGGGCGGGCGGCGGCGCCGUGGGCCAGGCGGCGGCGCGCGUCACUCCACACGGACCAGGCAGCUCCGCCGGGGCGGCCGCGCUGUCAGCGUCAAAUGAAGCCCGAGGAAAGUGUCGUCCCGUCAUGCUCCGACCCGAUGAAGUCCACCAGAGACAUCUGCCGGCUGCUGGGCUUCGGAGGCAGUGACAAGGAGCUGGAGGCUCAGGAUGGUGCUUCGGACCCAGCAGACAGAAGAAAAGGCGUCGACUCAUCUGGGGCCACGGUGAACAACGAGGAGGGUCUGGAUGACGAGGAAAGAGCAAGGAGGAGAGCAGAGAGGAGGAGAGCGAAAAGGAAAAGGCAGAAGGAACGAAGGAAACUGGAGAGAGAGGAGAAUAUGGAGGAGGCUAUAGAGCAGAAAGAAGAAGAAGAAGAAGUGGCUGGAGUGGAGUCGGAGAGCGACAGCGCGGAGGAAUAUAAAGAGGUGGAGCGACGGAACAGAAACAACCGCCAGUUGCCCCGCAGGACGACGUCGGAGGAGGAGCCCGAGUGGGACGUACGCAGUGCUUUUGUGGCCAACGCCGCCAGUCACAUCAAACUCAAAGGCCUGAAGAGCAGAGCUCCCCUGAUCACCAGAGAGGAGAAGGAGAACAACGGCCAGAGCAGCCAGGGGGAGAACAUAGAAGAGAUGAAGAGGAGGGGGGAGGCUCUGACAGAAGAGGGCAUUGAGAUGUUCGGACAAGGCCAGUACAGCGAGGCGGUGGACAUGUUCACAGAAGCCAUCCACUGUGACCCCAAGGACCACAGGUUCUAUGGAAACCGGUCUUACUGUUACUGGUGCCUGGAGCAGUUCUCCUCCGCCCUCAGAGACGCCCAGAGGUCCAUCGAGCUGGCGCCCGAUUGGCCGAAGGGACACUUCCGCAAGGGUUGCGCUCUGAUGGGGUUAAAGCGGUACAGCGAGGCAGAGAAGUCCAUGGAGCAGGUGUUGAACUUGGAUCAGCACAUCAAGGAAGCGUCCAGUAGACUCGUUACCUGCCGGAUCCUGCAGCUCACGGAGUUGGGUUUUGAGGAAGAGCAGAGUAAACUGCUGCUGGAGAAGUUCCACACGGUUCAGGGAGUCCUCACCUCCGCCGGGGUCAAAGGUAAAGGAGGGCAGCACGGAAGCAAACAUCUCCGCAGGACCAGAGUGGGAGCUGUCGCUCCCUGUGGGUCGGGAACAUUACGUUGGAAGUUACAGAGAAAGACCUCUGGGAUCUCUUCACGAUGUAAAAACAAAAGGGUCUGUGUUUCCACGGUAACAGGUUCGGUGAGAUCGAGAGCAUCAGAGUUCUCCACGAGCGCUUCUGUGCCUUCGUCAACUUUAAGAACGCCAACGUGGCCGCCAGAGCCCUGGAAAAGCUACAGGGGGUGGAGCUGGCGAGCACCAAGCUGGUGAUGCGGUACCCGGACCGCUGGAUCCAGCAAAGGACCAACACGGGCCUCUGCCUCGGCACUGCGGCAACACAGCAGAGCUCAGCCUCCACAGGGUCGAGACGGAGUGCGCCUGCGAAUGGCGACGGGUGCGUCCACGGCGACGAGUGCCGCUUCAGACACGUGCCGGACCGGCAAGGGCGAGGCAAGAAACCGUGGCAACCCUAAGGAUGUCGCCAACCCCCUGCACCAGAGGCACAUUAACGAAGGGAACAGCAAAUGACGAGAGGAUGAUCUGUCCGUCGAGUCCGAGUGUGAGGAGUCGAGGUGCGUGUGACCGUCAUUUCACAGGGUCCCAGAACCCGACCUCAUACAGACCCGUCAAGUACGGAGGUCUUGAAAGGAAUGUGAUUUAUUGGAAGCGUCAAACUCCCUGGAAACCCCCCCCCCCCCCCAAUGAACUCCUGGUUCCUGCUCUGAGGGAAGAAUUCCAAACGUGUUAUCUGGAUCUACUGGGACACAUAUUUAUGGUUGAACCGUUUUGGAAACCCCCCCCCAAGACCAGCUCUCUGACAAACUUUUGUCUCCAUAACACCACACCGCUGAAGUUACUUUCUUGCUCCUUCUUCUUCUUCUUUUGAAUUGUUUUUUGAACUUUUGCAAUAAAUCAAUAUACAUUCAUGUA